rnacentral:sRNA from 1 species
GGGUGACUCCUUGGCGCUUGCGCGCUGUUUUGAUGAAGAUUCGCACCUCUAUCAAAACGGGUAACCCCACCUCUUGGCAAGGUCUUACUGUCAGAUCAAGUCUGAACUUCUACACCUAAGAUAUCCCUGCAUCGUUUUGCGUCCAGUCGCAUUGUAGUUCUGCUCCCACCAUCCCGAGUCGUACGUCU